AAGACAAACACUGACAGGAGGAGCUUC
rnacentral:piRNA from 1 species